GGGAUUAGAUACCCCACUAUGCUUAGCCUUAAACCUAGAUGUUUAAUUUACAAGCAACAUCCGCCAGGGUACUACAAGCGCUAGCUUAAAACCCAAAGGACUUGACGGUGUCUCAGACCCACCUAGAGGAGCCUGUUCUAGAACCGAUAAUCCCCGUUAAACCUCACCACCCCUUGUUUUCUCCGCCUAUAUACCGCCGUCGCAAGCUUACCCUGUGAAGGUCUCAUAGUAAGCAAAAUGGGUAAAUCCCAAAACGUCAGGUCGAGGUGUAGCUUACGAGGUGGGAAGAAAUGGGCUACAUUUUCUAUAUCAGAAUAAUACGAACAGCACUAUGAAAUUAGUGCUCGAAGGUGGAUUUAGUAGUAAAAAACAAAUAGAGAGUCUUUUUGAACCAGGCUCUGAGACGCGCACACACCGCCCC
rnacentral:rRNA from 1 species